rnacentral:tRNA from 1 species
GCGCCCAUAGUUCAAUUGGAUAGAAUAUCGGAUUCCGGGUCCGACGGUUGGAGGUUCGAGUCCUCCUGGGCGCA